AGCCGGAGCCCGAGUGAGCGCGGGCUUGAGACCUGCUGAGCAGCGGGACCUGGCGGCUGGCGUUCUGGUGUGGGGCCGAGAACAGACCCUUCUUCUGAAAAGCCACUGGCCCCUUGUUCUAUGAAGGGUCCCCAUCCCCCAGGCUGCAGACUGGUACCAGUCCAUGGCAUGUUAGGAGCUGGGCUGCAUAGUAAGAGGUCGAUUUCUCAUUGUCUUCACCAAUCUUCUGAACCCGUGAAUACUUUUUGCAUGAUGAUUUGAAGCAGCCAGGAGGCCAAGACAGCGGCCAGGAGAAGCAGCAAGGAAUUGAGCCUUGUACAUUUUUCUCAAAAAAAUAAAAGAUGGGGAACCACCAUGCUCGAGAUAAGAAA
ensembl:lncRNA CYP2U1-AS1 CYP2U1 and SGMS2 antisense RNA 1